GGUGAUCUACCCAUGUCCAGGAUGAAGGUAAGGUAAUACUUACUGGAGGUCCGAACCCACGCACGUUGAAAAGUGCGGGGAUGAGGUGUGGGUAGCGGAGAAAUUCCAAUCGAACUUGGAGAUAGCUGGUUCUCUCCGAAAUAGCUUUAGGGCUAGCCUCGAGGUAAAGAGUCAUGGAGGUAGAGCACUGUUUGGACUAGGGGCCCUUCUCGGGUUACCGAAUUCAGAUAAACUCCGAAUGCCAUGUACUUAUACUCGGGAGUCAGACUGCGAGUGAUAAGAUCCGUAGUCGAAAGGGAAACAGCCCAGACCACCAGUUAAGGUCCCCAAAUAUAUGUUAAGUGGAAAAGGAUGUGGGGUUGCUUAGACAACCAGGAUGUUGGCUUAGAAGCAGCCACCAUUGAAAGAGUGCGUAAUAGCUCACUGGUCGAGUGACCCCGCGCCGAAAAUGUACCGGGG
rnacentral:rRNA from 1 species